UACAGAGAUCGGUCGAACGAGAACGACGACACACAUAGAAAGAAAGAAUAGCGUCGGUGAUUUGGUCCACACGUUCGUCUUCCGACGAGUGGGCUCGCUACGCCGUUGGACUGGUAACGAUGGGGCAAGCCCGAGCAGAGUCCCAGCCUCCUCUUGUGUACAUACGUCGAGCCAAAGGUCCAGGUGACAUGGCUGCCACAGGGCAUGGAGCCCAUGGUGAGACCUAUGCCUGAGGUCUAGGAGUUGUAGAAGGGGCUGUUGCCGAGGUACCAACAAAGACUGUAGGAGUUCGAGCCCCUGAAGUUGUCAAGCUCGGUGGUUCCAACGGUACAGGGCUACCGGCUGCGGCGGUGGUUUUAACCCGGAGGUAAGAGUUAUUCGGGGGAAUUGGUCUUGGAGUAGAAGAUGUUGACGUGGUUCGGCGGCGGUCGGGCUCGAUCCGACCACCUCUGCUACACGCCCUUGUUGUGGAAACAGGCACGCCCUCCCACCAUGUUGCGCUGUCCGCCCUACUUGUCGUCUAUGCGAAACCUCCCGACGUUGCGGUGGCGGCACGGCCACGACCACGGCAGACCGCUCCGCUUGCGGCCUCUGAUGCUCCUCGAGUAGUCGCUACCGAACGAGGAGUGUACCGUCGGCGACGGAAGGCGACCACCAUCACCAUAGUUCUCCUAAUCGUUUUCCUAUGAUUAUGAUUAUCAAAGUAGUCGUCAAAGUCGGAACGAGAAAGAUACGCAAACACACUACUACUCCGUAGGAUUCCCCUUUUCUGAUACCAGAGCGUCGUUUUCCUGAUCGUCGCCGUGACUUUCCUUAAUGCUCCGGUACUAUAAUAGUAUACCUAGUGAUCGGGGGUUUUCCAUGUGCAUGAGUGUCCAUUACUUCUAUUGUAGAAGAUCGUUAGUACUCGAACCUUUCCCACCAAUACCACACCAAAAGUUUCCUUCUGAUGUACUACUAGCUGAACAACGACACUUUAAGAACGUACUGACGUUUCCUUUACCCCUACUAAAACACUUACUCCAAUACUCGUAACCCUCUUGGAGAGUACAAUUAUAACAAUCGAAUAAACCCAAAACAAACCUCCCUAGUUUUGCUCGAGAAUAUAUACUCAUGUACGGGUUACCAAGGGACCUAUCCAUAUAAAUGAGGCUCUUGGGGUUUCUUUAAAAUCCUACCCUCUCCGACAUACGCUAUCGUUAGCCCUAACGAGCACCGGAUCUUAUGAACGUGGUAUCAACAUUAUGUGCCUAGCAAGUAAAACUAUAGUUCGGUGUUUUAUAGGAAGAUCUGUUCCUAAAAACGGGUUUCUAACGACUAAAACCAGAUCGAUUUAACACAGUACGUUUUCUCUCGUUCGAAAGUUACUGACCACGAUCUCCUUGUUAACCCAAGUAACGAGGUCUUCAAGUGAGAGCCUGUAAACCACAACAAAGUUGGUUCAGUCUACAAAUAUCAAUACCUUACUACAACAAUCUCUACCAACCCCCGUCCUUUUUACACUUUAGCCACCGACUUUUUAGCUCGCUUCUUAUAAAAGGUCUAACCUAAAUACUGGUGGAAACAGUUCUACUACCUGACGCUCGUACACUUCAGUCUUCACUUUAACUCCUUUAUCGUUUUUUCUACUGGAAGUAACCGAACACCACGUAUGUUCAUCAUGGAUACAUAGUGGGAUGGUAUUGGUUUCAAGAUCUUUACAAACUUUCUUCGAACCUACUUGACCUGUACGGUGGAUUCGUUUUGAAGGUACCUGGUGAACUGCUGAGUCGUGUGUUAUACUCACAUGUUUCACGUUCAAUAUGGUAAAGACUUCUGUUCUAGGAACACUUAAGUUUUUUGUAAGUUAACAACGGUCGAGAAACUCUUUCGUUGUACGUGAUCUAAGCCGUUUCGUUGUUUCAAGUUACCACAUAGUAAUUUGUAUAAAGUGAGUACAUGUUUGAACUAAAUUUCGACCGAGAUGGACUUUGUUUGUUUGAGCCUAUUUACAUAAUAGCUUCAAGGUAAUUAGUUUUCGUAACAAAAAUCAAUCUUCCAAUAAUGAAACAGACACCUUGUACAUUUCUAACUGCGUAUUACUUAAGGGUGCGACCAAUGUCGGACCUUCCUGUACUUUACAAACAACGACCGCCACAUGUAGAAAUGGUUACUACUUCUGUGCCGGUAACUAUAGACCCACUACGUCCUGAUGGUUCCGCUCCAGACCCUAAAGCACGUAGCUCAACUUAACGGGCAACGCCUAUAGUCGGCGGUCACAGUUAGAAGAACCGUACUUCUCCCACACUACCGACAUGGACCCCUGCCGCCACUCAAUGAGGACGACCAGUCGACAUUGCCUACCAACAAAGUCCAACUACAGCUACCGUUCAACUAACGGUCAAAGGUUGUGUCUCUGGAGUUAAGAUGAGAUAUACACGAGUUCGUUUGAGAACAAGUUGUAAGGAAGAAAGGCUGUGAUCUGCCAAUACAAUACUUACGGAACGGAAAGUAGACUGGACUACUAAAUAACAACUCACACCACCACAAAGAAUAGUCGGAUCGAGAGGCAUGCAUGUACUCGACAACAUACAUAAUUGAUCUAGGGGCCACAAUACGACACUCGUGAAUCGGAAAAUAGAAUCUCCACAGUUCACACCACCACAAAGAAUGGCCGGAUCGAGAGACAUAGGUGUGCUCGACGUCAUACACAAUAGCCGGAUCGAGAAACACAUAAGAACUUGAGUUAUAACCUAAUAUAGGGGAGAAAUAUACCACCAAGAGAAAAAUGAGUUAUCAAGACAAAUAACUGAACUUCUAAACUGAAAUAGCUCAAGAAAAUACAUCUCUAACGGACCACCAGAAGAAUUAUGACCGUAAAUGUUUAUAUGUAAAGAAGGACAAAUAUACAACAAAGAAUUCGACUGCUACUUUACUCCGGUUAAUAGGAGGAAUAACUGAUUCGUUCAAUGUUUACUAAACGAAUGUUCUCGAUCGACAAAGACUUGUUGAAAAGUAACUUUACAAGACAAACGUUAAUUAAGAACAAGUACUAAGAUAUCGUACACCAAUCCACAACUUUGUAUGCAUGAUAAUAUUAAGACGAAAACACAACGUAACAAACCUUUAUAUAGUUAGUAAAGUGAAGUCGAAGAUUGGUGGAGUUCUUAGUUACGAAGUACACUAUAAAGUAGAAUUCUAUUCGAACUCUUUACUUUGAACAUUACUAUUCGUUUUCUUUCCAUAGUACCAGUGCGAGUCCAGGGUCUAACACAGGGGAGAUCUAAGACGUUCACGGUGGGUACAAGUAAAAAAAAGAAACUGGUCGUGUUACACAUACUUAACCCAGGUGAUACUCGUCCAGACAAAGAAAAAAUACAUCUGGCCAAUCGGUGCUCCACCUCACUUGCCGUCACGCUUCGCUGUGGCCCGUGUUUCUGUUCGUUCGGCCACCUCACGACGACUAUAGAGUGAUUGGGUUUAAUACAAACCUGAACCCUCUACCGGAUGUAUCUUUAGAAUUAUGGUUAAGAUUAGUUUCACCGUCAUACUAAACCCAUGUUGGAUAUCUCUACGACACACACAAAUAUAUCCUCAUAAUAAAACCAAUGACCUUGGAUUACACAGGAUAUUUAACCGUCACGCGUACGACCCUUAAGCUCUUAUUUUAAGAACCAAAGUACGGAGUGGUAACCGAUUCUCUCUCAUAGGUUCGUGUGUGCAGCCGAGGGGGUGCAUGGACAAUAGAACGUAAAGUCAAAUUCAUAAAAAACCAUUAAAAUUGGGUAUUGACUUGGAGUACGGAAAAGUCCUAUCCUCUCUCCUAUGAGGGGACGUUGGACGUGUAAAAUCCUUCGUAUUUUCCUUUGUUAAUGUCUUUGUGUUCCUUUUUUUACAACACUUAUUGUACGUGUUCGGGUUUGUAUUAGGUCGACCCUUCCGAUGUUACGAUUCCUCUUCGGUUCACUUGUGUUAGGUCGACCCUUCCUUCUAUGAAUAUCUCAUAGGUUUCCCUAGUAGCAGAAAAGUGCCUUCUUCCGGAAGUACGUCUAUAAUUACCUCUACCUCAAGAUCUAGUUCAAGUCCACACAACUUUACAGUUUUGAUGUCGACGCACUGAACCCGACAGUAAAGGGAGCGGCCGGUCGUCUACUCCAGUCCGAGACAACCGCGGCGGAGGAGCGGCGUUGCGGGAAGAAGAUGGAGAACGGAGUGAGUUCCUCUUUGAGGUGUGUGUGUACGUGUGUACGUGGUUCCUUCUUGUGUGUUCGAAACGGUUCUCCGAGGGAACCACUAGUGUGCCACCGAUGUAACAAAAGGUCGGGAGAGCCGGAGAAAGAGUAACGAACUAUACGUUGUAUAUAUGUUCCCCGACCGGAGUGUGUGCAUGAUUGAUCGACGGUCCAAGCCGGUGAUUGCGGUCCAUCGCGUGCGGGUCCAUUGAUGGGACUUUAGGGAGGGUCGAUUGUUGAAUAGGUACGUCGGUGAUUGAUUGGGUACGUACUUAAACUGAGCUGAUUUGUGUUAUAACAACAUCGAACGUGCGUGGGAGCGGUGCUGGGCCGGUGGUGUGCCGGUGUACGUACCGAAUAACGGUAGUCCGAGUAGCCCAGUCACUGUCACUGUACCGGCCGCUGUAGCUGUUGGCGUUCUCGUGCAGCCGCCGCUAUAAGAAGUAGUCACUAUAAAGAUAGUUAACCGACAGUGUCUUCAUCUUCCACGCCGGACAUUUGCUCGCCUCUUGCAGCAUGGAGCAAUCUCCGCUGCCAACGCACAAUAUAUCCGUCCCCGUAGAGGGACUAUUCGUAUGUUUCAACAACCCUAAUGUAGAACUCUUUGUUCCUUCUAGAUCUCUCUAUCUCUCUAUUCUUCAAUGUUGUUCUAUCUGAGAUAGAUAGAUCGGUCCGGUCCAAGCCGGUCACGCGGGAUACCCGGAUAACGUGAUACAAAUUGUGGGAGGGUAUUAGUGUUGAACCUGUACAACUCUAAUGCGAAUUUAAGGAGUUUUGAAGAACAUCCGUUCCGGAACCAUUUGGGUAGUCGUUGAACUAGAACUCUCACUUAUUUGGCUUGUAGGUUAAAGAACCGUUGUUGGGAAAGAGACUGUUUCACUUUCAGAUAAAGCUAUACAAAUCAAGCACGUACUUUUUGACCUAAUCGUCUUUCCAUACAUCAUGGUUCCAAUAGUGUGGUAUUCGUACCUCGAACAAACGUCACAUACGGUUCAAGGAAUUCGUCUCUGACUUGGGUCUAUUAAAGUCGUCAUCGUAAACGAUCACGGAACAUAAGACGAAGACACGAUCUAGAUCUGUGUCAUCGAACGAAAAAUCGUGUGGUUCUUUAGUCUAAACCUGGUUUCUUGUGACGUUUCGGUGGUCAACUAGCAGACAGUAGAUCUGUCCGACGGGUUAGUCUCAGUCUCUUACGUGAUUGUUCACAACUACCACUGAACGACUUUCAGUCAGGUUACGAGUUUCAUAAAAAUUGUAUAGAUUCAUACGCAAAACGUCGACAGUUUACAUGACAUUAUCCACGUACUUCCUUGACUGUAUGAAACAAGUGUCGUUUUCUUUAUAGUCCGGAUCAGUUCCAAUUUAUAACAUUACGUGGUUGGUAUGAAGACAUGGACCACGAUAGGAGAACCAAGUUCUCAAGAGGGAGACUGUUCCUGUUAAAAAGACUCGACCUGUUUCCACAGUUACGACCGAACGUUGGAAAGUUGGGACUAAACCGAUGUUCUAGUCAACGUAUGAAAAGAACCCAUUCUAU
rnacentral:rRNA from 1 species